rnacentral:rRNA from 1 species
UACAGGGGGGGCAAGCGUUGUUCGGAAUUACUGGGCGUAAAGAGCUCGUAGGCGGCUUGUCGCGUCGACCGUGAAAACUUGGGGCUCAACCCUAAGCCUGCGGUCGAUACGGGCAGGCUAGAGUUCGGUAGGGGAGACUGGAAUUCCUGGUGUAGCGGUGAAAUGCGCAGAUAUCAGGAGGAACACCAAUAGCGAAGGCAGCUCGCUGGGACGUUACUGACACUGAGGCGCGAAAGCGUGGGGAGCGAACAGG